rnacentral:misc_RNA from 1 species
UUUCCGUAGGUGAACCUGCGGAAGGAUCAUUAAAGAAAAGAUACAUUUAGUGUCAUUUUCUCCAAUUCUUGUGCACUUUUGGUGUAGUAGAUGCAAAUCUGCUUGCCAAAUGGAGAGGUUAAUUUAGACCUCUUUUACAUACAUUUGUUUUAGGAUGUUAACAAAGUCUCUUUAUGAGCAAAAAAUAAAAAUAACUUUCAACAACGGAUCUCUUGGUUCUC